CCUACGGGGGGCAGCAGUGGGGGAUAUUGCACAAUGGGGGGAACCCUGAUGCAGCGACGCCGCGUGGGUGAAGGAGCGUUUCGGCGCGUAAAGCCCUAUCGGCAGGGAAGAAGAUGACGGUACCUGGCCAAGAAGCCCCGGCGAACUACGUGCCAGCAGCCGCGGGAAUACGUCGGGGGCAAGCGUUAUCCGGAUUUACUGGGUGUAAAGGGGGCGCAGACGGCAAUGCAAGCCAGGGGGGAAAGCCCGGGGCCCACCCCCGGGACUGCUCUUGGAACUGCAUGGCUGGAGUACAGGAGGGGCAGGCGGAAUUCCUAGUGGAGCGGUGAAAUGCGUAGAUAUUAGGAGGAACACCGGUGGUGAAGGCGGCCUGCUGGACUGUGACUGACGUUGAGGCCCGCAGGCGUGGGGAGCAAACAGGAUUAGAUACCCCUGUAGUC
rnacentral:rRNA from 1 species